rnacentral:rRNA from 1 species
UACGUAGGGGGGCAAGCGUUGUCCGGAAUCAUUGGGCGUAAAGCGCGUGUAGGCGGGACGACAAGUCCGGCGUGAAAGGCUCGGGCUCAACCCGAGACGGCCGUUGGAAACUGUCGUUCUUGAGGGUCGAAGAGGAGAGUGGAAUUCCUGGUGUAGCGGUGAAAUGCGUAGAGAUCAGGAGGAACACCCAUGGCGAAGGCAGCUCUCUGGUCGACCUCUGACGCUGAGACGCGAAAGCGUGGGGAGCGAACGGG